rnacentral:rRNA from 1 species
AACAAACGCUGGCGGCGUGCCUAAUACAUGCAAGUCGAACGGGGAAAGGCCUUCGGGCCCGGUACUAGUGGCGCACGGGUGAGUAAUACAUGGGUAACCUGCCUUUCAGUGGGGAACAACCAGGGGAAACUCUGGCUAAUACCGCAUAAGACCACAGGAUCUGCGGAUCUAGGGGUUAAAGAUUUAUCGCUGAAAGAUGGGCUCAUGUCCGAUUAGCUAGUUGGUGGGUAACGGCCCACCAAGGCUCCGAUCGGUAGCUGGUCUGAGAGGAUGAUCAGCCACACUGGAACUGAGACACGGUCCAGACUCCUACGGGAGGCAGCAGUAGGGAAUAUUGCACAAUGGAGGAAACUCUGAUGCAGCAACGCCGCGUGUGUGAUGAAGGCUCUCGGGUCGUAAAGCACUGUCGCAGGGGAAGAUAAUGACGGUACCCUGCAAGAAAGGACCGGCUAACUUCGUGCCAGCAGCCGCGGUAAGACGAGGGUCCUAGCGUUGUUAC